rnacentral:rRNA from 1 species
CAGUAGCCGCGGGAACACGGAGGAUCCAAGCGUUAUCCGGAAUCAUUGGGUUUAAAGGGUCCGUAGGCGGUCUUGUAAGUCAGUGGUGAAAGCCCAUCGCUCAACGGUGGAACGGCCAUUGAUACUGCAGGACUUGAAUUAUUGGGAAGUAACUAGAAUAUGUAGUGUAGCGGUGAAAUGCUUAGAGAUUACAUGGAAUACCAAUUGCGAAGGCAGGUUACUACCAAUUGAUUGACGCUGAUGGACGAAAGCGUGGGUAGCGAACAGGAUUAGAUACCCCCGUAGUCCCUGUCUCUUAUAC